UACGUAGGGCGCAAGCGUUGUCCGGAAUUAUUGGGCGUAAAGAGCGUGUAGGCGCCAGAUAGGUCAGCUGUGAAAACUCGAGGCUCAACCUCGAGACGUCGGUUGAAACCAUCUGGCUAGAGUCCGGAAGAGGAGAGUGGAAUUCCCGGUGUAGCGGUGAAAUGCGCAGAUAUCAGGAGGAACACCGGUGGCGAAGGCGGUUCUCUGGGAAUAUCCUGACGCUGAGGAGCGAAAGUGUGGGGAGCGAACAGG
rnacentral:rRNA from 1 species